rnacentral:lncRNA from 1 species
UUAACUGAAUAUUGACUAAAGUCUAGCGUUAGGACCUAGGUACAUGAAAUACAAAAGGGCACAAAACUGACCCUUUUACCAAAAAGAAAAGAAAAGGAAGGAAGGAAGGAAGGAAGGAAGGAAGGAAGGAAGGAAGGAAGGAAGGAAGAAACAAACAAAGGAAAGAGGUAGAGAGGGAGGAAGAAUAAAAAGGAAAAUAACUUUUUCCUUUCGAUUUUGGAGAAAAUCAAGCAAAUAAAAAAAAAUGAAACUGAAACUAUUUGCCAACCUUGCUACUUGAUUGAAGCAAUUACAUUAGAAAACUCUUUUUGGAGUUUUCUGUAAGUAAAUAGAUGUGUUUGCAACUAUAGAACAUUUCUAAUACUCUUACAGUUUCAUGUAGCCUAAAAACAGAGAGUAUAACAUAGAUAGUAGACCCUGAGCAGCUUUAGCAAGAAAAAAAAAAGUUGAACAGUAAGGACUGUGCUAUCCAUGUUUCUCUUCCAAAGAGCAAGCUUGAUUAUAACUCUUCAGAUUUGCAAGUUACUCAUCUGAGUAAAGGGGGGAGAUGUAUCAGCCUUCUCUGGCCACAGCUGAGCAGGUGACAGAGCAAACUGGCAGCAGGAAACAUUAACAGAAGGAGCCAGAGAGUUUCCUGCCCAGGCCAACAGAGAGGAGAGGGAAGAAGAGGAAAGAAAAUGGUAACAGAAAUGUUUCUAAUGCCAGAAAUGUAAGAGUGCCUUUGUUAUAAAACACAGGCAUCGAUUUCCUGUUUCCAUAACUUGUGAUUGCUCCUAGCGGCGGGUAUCAUUAUUGCCAUUAUUCAAUCAUGGAACUGAGGCCCAGUGAAUUACGUGACUUAACCAAAGUCUCAGAACUGCAGGUAUCUCCUCCAGGAAUAUAGAAAUAGAAAGCAGGGAAACUAUGUAUACAGUGUCAAGGCAAUAAAAUGCCUCUCUCAGGACCUAAAAGUGGCCCCUGAAAUUGGAUGCAACUACCAGGUAAAGAACAUAAUCUCUAUAAAACUUGAAAAACAUGUAGAGUUCUGUUUUGUAUUUUGAAUAUAAAAUUUACCCUUGUCACUAAUUUUAAUAUCAAAAAUCGUCAUCAAAUUAGAAAUUAAUCUCAUGAUUCACAAAUAAAUAUUUUCUGUUUUAAGAAAGUAUAGUUGCU